AGACAUUGUGUCUUCGAGUCGUUGAUUUCACACUGCCGAGAAAAGCCUCUAGAUAGAAAAUAGGUGCCCGUACCGCAAACCGACACAGGUAGUCAAGAUGAGAAUUCUAAGGUGAGCGAGCGAACUCUCGUUAAGGAACUCGGCAAAAUGACCCCGUAACUUCGGGAGAAGGGGUGCUCUUUAGGGUUAACGCCCAGAAGAGCCGCAGUGAAUAGGCCCAAGCGACUGUUUAUCAAAAACACAGGUCUCUGCUAAACCGUAAGGUGAUGUAUAGGGGCUGACGCCUGCCCGGUGCUGGAAGGUUAAGAGGAGUGGUUAGCUUCUGCGAAGCUACGAAUCGAAGCCCCAGUAAACGGCGGCCGUAACUAUAACGGUCCUAAGGUAGCGAAAUUCCUUGUCGGGUAAGUUCCGACCCGCACGAAAGGCGUAACGAUUUGGGCACUGUCUCAACGAGAGACUCGGUGAAAUCAUAGUACCUGUGAAGAUGCAGGUUACCCGCGACAGGACGGAAAGACCCCGUGGAGCUUUACUGUAGCCUGAUAUUGAAAUUCGGCACAGCUUGUACAGGA
rnacentral:rRNA from 1 species